AGCUUUCUAGUAGACAACUGAAAAUUUUAAGUGAAAACUGUCAAAUCUGAAAUUGAUCAUCCACAUAAAAAACACAGUAAAUAAACAUUAAUCCCAGAGCAUGGUGCUGCCAUCACCAUGUUAUUCUGUGGAUAUUGUCUCCUUCAUGUUUUGUGUCAAACACAACAUUUGAAAUUGUGACGCAGAAGUUUAGUUUCGUGGCAGAUUUUCAGUUUUGGGUAUUUUCUCUCCAGCAUUACUCCUCGGUUCAGACAUGCAGAGAUAGAUCUGCAUGUAGCUCACUAAAAGUACUUUCCAGAGAUUUCUGCAGCUCCUUCUUGUUGCUGUCAGCCCCUUGGCAGCCUCUCAAACCAGUUUCCAUCUGGACUUCUCUACAGUUUUGGAGAAAUGUCCAGUUUCCGUAAUGUCCCUCUCAUCCUGUUUCCUCUUCUGCUUGAUGGCUGCCUUCACUAUGCUGUGGUAUAUGUAUUUUUUUUUAAAUUGUGGAUGUAUUUCCCUUCCACUUUACCAAUACAUUUGUUCAAUCAGUUCCAAUUUAUCCUUCUUAAUCUCAAAUCUUAAUGGAAAUGAGCAAAUGUCAGUAAAAUUAUGAAUCAGAAAUUGAUGACAGAUGUGAAGUAAGGGCUGAAACUCAAGUAAUAGUUAGCAUAUUCUUUUCAAGGUUUCCCUAAAACACAUUUCUAUAAGAUAUUGUACAAUAUUGUAAUUAUGCUGCCUUUGAAAUCAACUCAUAACCUUUGCACUUUUCCAGAUUACCACGAACACAACGUAAGGCGUGAUUGUUGUGUAAAUUGGUUUAAAAAAAAUUACAGCAAUAAAUCUUUAACUAUGAGCUUCAGCAAACAGUAUACAAAGCCUAAUAAACAACAUAACGUUACAUUUAUUAACAACAUUAAGAACCAGUUAAGAACCAGUCCAUGCUGAACGUCCAUCUCUAUCCGCUCCGUUUCGUUUGUGUCCGUUUCGUUGCUAUGCGUUUAAAUAAAAAGGUAUUUUCACUCAGAUAAACCCACAUCAAUGGACUCUUUGAACCUCAGCUUCCGCGUUCGGGGGAAAGCGGCUCGAUUGUUUCCGAUCCGAUAAAAAUAUAAUUUUACACCAGGUGCUUGCAGGGCUAGGCCAAGGUUUGUACAUCGAUCCGAAGCCCCAACAAGUAAACUGGAGAAAGGUUUUAAGAUGUACGCCUCGUUAUACAUUCACUGACACAAAGUUCUCUGCUUGAUUAAAGGAGGUUGUUUCUGGCCACUCAUCGUCCUAAAAACAAAGGACUCCUGCAUCUACUUUCUACCAUCUUGCAGCUUAAUCCACCCUGACAGAACUGCUUAAACCUCGAAGACUUCCAGGUGUUCUCUGCUAAACCUGACCUGCCUUCCUAUGCUGAAGACGACGUCUUUAUGCUCCCCUCAGCCCGGACCGAGGAAACCGAUUCAUGACCGUAUCUCAGCUCAUAAACAUUGUUUGGAAUCUGUCUAUUCCAAUAAUAAAUCUUGACCAGGGGUUCCCAAACUUUUC